UGGGGAAUAUUGCACAAUGGGCGCAAGCCUGAUGCAGCCAUGCCGCGUGUGUGAAGAAGGCCUUCGGGUUGUAAAGCACUUUCAGCGGGGAGGAAGGCGGUGAGGUUAAUAACCUCAUCGAUUGACGUUACCCGCAGAAGAAGCACCGGCUAACUCCGUGCCAGCAGCCGCGGUAAUACGGAGGGUGCAAGCGUUAAUCGGAAUUACUGGGCGUAAAGCGCACGCAGGCGGUCUGUCAAGUCGGAUGUGAAAUCCCCGGGCUCAACCUGGGAACUGCAUUCGAAACUGGCAGGCGAGAGUCUUGUAGAGGGGGGUAGAAUUCCAGGUGUAGCGGUGAAAUGCGUAGAGAUCUGGAGGAAUACCGGUGGCGAAGGCGGCCCCCUGGACAAAGACUGACGCUCAGGUGCGAAAGCGUGGGGAGCAAACAGG
rnacentral:rRNA from 1 species